UUAUGUCAGAUGAAAAAAAAA
ensembl:piRNA 21ur-7288 ncRNA